CCCGUGUGAGUUUCGUGUUGUCAGCCUCUUGAAUUUGCUGGUAGUGCCCCGCUUCCAGCCUUGAGUCAUUUGUAACCACAGUGCAGUAUCAGUCAUGUUUUGUGUCCUUUCUGGUUUUAACUAUUAAAGGAAUAUUUUGCAAGCUGGGUGUUCUUUUAAACUAGCUCUGCAUCGUCGCCCAGCACAGAAAUCCUUAGCAAGUGCCUCACCACUGCACACAGCUGUUUGUGUUAAUGCUUUGAUAUCCGCUGAGCAGAAGAAAUGUCUGGAAUAUAAUGUUCUUAUCUGAUUUGUUGCAGGGUAUUUACAACAGGAAAAACUUCUAGCUACCUGCCGUGAAUUUAUUUUAGAAAGCUCCGAUUUGAAGGAAUACGCAGAGCACUGUACGGAGGAUGGGUUCAUUCCAGCCUGCUUGCUGUCCCUGUGUGGAAAAAAUUUGACAACUAUUCUUAAUGAAUAUGUAGCCAUGAAAACAAAAG